rnacentral:sRNA from 1 species
UUUUGUUGUGAUUAUAAAUGUAGUCAUAUGUACUUUCGUAUGUACUUACGAAAAUCGGCAUUUUUUCUUUAAAAAUAUACCGUUCUACUCUUCAAUUAUCAUAUCGAAGCUAAAGAAUAAAUUCACAAGUCAUGAGCAAUGUCGACGAACCUAGAUAUGCGGUGACCAAAGCUGAAUGGAACAGAGAAAGCGACGGAAGCUAACAACAACUCGAUACCGGCGAGCAGAGGCUCUUUCUCCUUCAAAGCUUCAUCUUCUUCUUCUUUUCAAUAUCACAAAAAUAGAACAAAUCAGUCACAAAAUUUGUAAAACAUUUUACUUGGGUUCCUUCUAUACUAUCUUAGGGUUUACUUUUCUCUGAUUAAAAACGAUUUAAUCUUGUAGAAAAAUGAAAAAUAAAAAAGGAAUCAUGAAGGAAGAUGGAGAUGAAGAAAUUCGGAGAAAAAAAGUCGUCAGAGUUACAAAGACGGCUAAGGAAAACGUCAAUGUCUCAUCACUUUGCUAGGGGCAAAAGCGUCAAUUGCAAGGGAUCAAAGUUCCAUUUUUCGAAGUACACUCGGGAAGUGCCCAAUAUCAAAGAUUUUUUUUAAAAUGUGCCCAUUUUGAUCGGGAAGUGCCCAAUAUCAAAGAUUUUUUUAAAAAA